UUGAAUGGGGGAACCUGCAUCCAGUCUAUGCCGCGUGAGUGAAGAAGGCCUUCGGGUUGUAAAGCUCUUUCGGCUGGGAAGAAAUCGCACAGGCUAAUACUCUGUGUGGAUGACGGUACCAGCAUAAGAAGCACCGGCUAACUACGUGCCAGCAGCCGCGGUAAUACGUAGGGUGCGAGCGUUAAUCGGAAUUACUGGGCGUAAAGCGUGCGCAGGCGGUUGUGCAAGACAGAUGUGAAAUCCCCGGGCUCAACCUGGGAACUGCAUUUGUGACUGCACGACUAGAGUACGGCAGAGGGGGGUAGAAUUCCACGUGUAGCAGUGAAAUGCGUAGAUACGUGGAGGAAUACCAAUGGCGAAGGCAGCCCCCUGGGAUAACACUGACGCUCAUGCACGAAAGCGUGGGGAGCAAACAGGAUUAGAUACCCUGGUAGUCCACGCCCUAAACGAUGCUGACUAGUUGUUCGGGAUUUACAUCCUGAGUAACGUAGCUAACGCGUGAAGUCAGCCGCCUGGGGAGUACGGUCGCAAGAUUAAAACUCAAAGGAAUUGACGGGGACCCGCACAAGCG
rnacentral:rRNA from 1 species